CAGGUUGCUAAGGAGCACCAAUGGUUACUGGUCAGAAAGAAAGACUGCGCUGUAGGUUUACUGAAAGUAUGGAGAGUACUAGGUGGUAGGUCUUCAGUGGAAGGAUUAGUGGAAAUGUGGGAGAAGUAAAAGACUACUGUUUCAUUUAGAAAGAAAACAACUCUGAGGACACUUUUUUCAGAGAACAGACCUUUGAUUUACUGAAUGGAGUUUAGCAAUCUCAUGUUAUUAUAUAAGAGCACUGGAUGGUGGAGGUAGUGAACUGCAUAAUUCAGGAUGGAAAUUUUAUGUACAUUAGAAAUGCAGCUGUGUUUUCCUGUUUAUCAAGCUGUUUGUCUGUCUUUGGCGUUUUUGAUACCAGGGAACUGGCUAUCUCAGUUAUCACUGUUACUUCAUUUAGUUUUGAAUCGUGGGUGGUUAAUUACAGUGAGCAGAUGUUUGUUUUAAGGAGAUAUAGUUAAAAAUAUUACUGGCAGAACUGUUAAGCAGCUGUUUUUAUAGAGAACUUGUUUGAAUGAGUGGGCAGCCAAAUAUCAUUAUAAAAGAGUAUUUGAUAGCCAUAUGUUUAACACUGAAGGACUGGAGAUUCCCCCAUAUCACUCAAAAUAGGUGGGUGGACUGGGAGGUUACAUUUCUAAAAAUGGAGCAGUGUGUUUUAGAACCACAGCUUAAGUUUCUAGUUUGCAGAAUAAGCUGCUACUAAGCUGCUCUGCUUUGCUAAACAGUAUAUUGCUGAUCACUACAACCAGCAAUGAAACUGUUAAGCUGACUGUUGUGGCCAGUCUUUUAGACAGUGCUUCUGAAAGGAUUUGCUCAGUUACUACAUAUGGGUCAUGUUUCAAAAAUUUAUCUAACUACAUGACCAAGAAAAAAUGUGAUCCUGACAAUAAAUGAGCUGAUACUUAAGUUAGCACAUUAAUCAGCGGAACUAAGCCUUGAACUAGAUGUGCUACAUGAGGAAUGCAUAACUAGGGCAAGGAUCAGUAGACUCCUACUCCUGAAAUACGUGUGCACUAUGAAAGCACACAAAAGCACCACCAGGUGGUUAACCAAUGGGUUAACCAUACAAGCAUUUAAUUCAACACUGAAGGAUGAGGCUGGUUCAGUACCACUGCAAACCAUUAGGGGGAGGGAGUUAUUUUAUCACAGCCUCGUUUAAAGAAGCCAUUUUUAACAUUCACUUCCUUACUGGUAAUAUCUUGGGAGUUAGAUUUGCAGAGCAGCUCGGUGUGAAACAGCAUCUUUAAUGAAGCUGGUCAUUUCUAUUCAGUGACACCUGGUAUACUGAUAUUAUUGGAAGAAAACCUGCCAGUGCAACAAGCAAAAAUUGCAUCAAGUGUUCAGAAAGGCUCUGAUGACCUGUCUUUCGGUCCUUCACAGAAUGCUGAGCAACUACAUUCUAUACUGCACGUCACACAAGUUGCCAAGGCAGAUACAUUUCGAGCAUACACUGCAGUUCUCAAGGGAAAUUAUUUGCACCUUAUUCCUUUUCCAUCUCCACGUACACUGGGUCUGAGUCAGCAGGAUGUUUCUUAUUUGGACAUGAUUGAUUGUCCUGAGCAAGCUGACAAUAAGGAG